CGGUGACAUUUCGACACUGACAUUUACAUACGUUUACGAACAUAUACAACGCCAUACAAACUUAAGCUAGUUAGACCUCUUAUCUACGGGACGUAAAGGUCCGCCCGGCAGUGUAAUACAGGACUACCGGUUUCUGAUGAAUUGUGCCAAACCCAGAAUCUUUGCUAGUAACAAAAUAUCCAACUCAUGAUAACCUUUAUUUACACUGCGCGGAGAAAACGUAGUAGCCGACUUUUAAAGUGAUAUGAGCAGACCUUGUUAGCCUCUGUAUUAUUGUAAUUCGUUACAAAGUAGGAAAUCCCGGCCUGUCUAAGAUAGAUGCUGAAUAGGUGAGGGCCCGGGGUGACUAGGUAUGUCUCGGAACACUACAGACGAUAACGGCUUCCACUAAAAGAUGCAGUCUGUGAGAAGUUGUCCACUUUUGUUGGUGGUUUCGACUGAAUAGGUGAGGGCCCGGGGUGACUAGGUAUGUCUCGGAACACUACAGACGAUAACGGCUUCCACUAAAAGAUGCAGUCUGUGAGAAGUUGUCCACUUUUGUUGGUGGUUUCGACUGAAAUACUGUAACUAUGUUACUUGGAUACCAGAGUCUUCGAUUUCGUCCAAGGGUACAGAGGCGGUAACUCGUGUAUCGAAAGCAGCACCAUUACACUUACGGAGAUUAAAGGUAUCUGUAUUCAGUAAAUAAGUA